GAAGAAAGAUUAUAUAACUUAGAAGAAGAUUUUUAUUAGUUGUUACAAGCUUUGUUUAUUUCUUGGUGAUACAAAAUGAGAAGAGAGUGGAGGUAUUUAUAGCCUCCAAAGUACAAAAUAUCUUACAUAUUUUAAUCUUAAAUCUAGAGAAUUCUACUUAAAAAUCUAAAUUAUUUUAUCUUAAUUAUCUAGAUAAUUCUAUAAGAAUAUCUAGAUUUUUAUUUUAAGGAGGUGGAUGAUUUUUCUAGAAUUUGGGCUAAGUUUUGGAUCAACAGAUGAUUAACCCAAUAAUAUUUGAUCAAAAUCAAGUUUAUUUUUCAACAGUGUCCCUCUUCUAACAGAUGCCAAUAGUGGUUCGAGAGACUGGGAUGAAACCAUUGAUCAUGGAACCUUUUUAGAAUAAUAAGAUGAGAUAUUAAUCGAGUGUUAGGAGGGAGCCAUUAAUAUUAGAAGAUAAAGGAUGAGGAAGAGAAACUUUAACCCCGAGAAGAAGGACGGUACCAAGAACUCAGGCCCAGCAAAGACAAACACAGACGUAGAGUAUGAUAGCUAUGAAUUUGCAGGCGUAACAUGUUGUUUCAGGAUCCAUGUAUUAAGUUUAAGAUCACGUUUCCAAAAUAAGAGAAAAUGCAAGGACCCCAUGCUAUAUGUCACGUGCAACUUCACCAAGUGGUCUAGAUAUCAUUGACAGCUAGAGAAAGAAUGGAUGCAAGACUUAUAUUUCAAAGAUCUGCCAUCACAAAAAGUAAUUACUACUACUAUUACAAUACUUAAGAAACUGGAAACACACACACAAAUUAUAUGUUCGUGAGAAUACAUAGGUACUGCUGUCUGUAUGUGAGAAACAAGAAAAAUGGACACUGAAAAGCUUAUAUUCUAAUUGAAAAUAAAAUAUUAAAUGCAUGGUUGAGGAAGAAAAAAGAUGAAAUGAAUUGGAAAAUGGAGGUUCACAUAAGAAGAGCAUUGAAAGAAUGAUGUUUCUUUCACAAUAUUUAAUUACGCAGGCAGUGUAAUUAAACCAUUGCAAACGUAUAGGAAUCUGGAAAAAAAUAUUUAAAAACAAACAGCUACGCAUGAACACAAAUCAGUUUAGAGAAACGACUUGGGCGACCGUCGGACGUACAUUUCAAAACAUCAAAUACGUGGAAAAUGAUACGAGAAGAAAUUCAAUAGACCAUUUGAUAUGACUACUCCACCUGUACAGUCAAAACAAAACUUAACAGAAGCAUGAGUUCGAAACAUGGAAUAUGCUGUGAAGACAAAAUGCAGAAAUAACAAAAGUGGUCAGGAGAUUUGGUCAAUGUCACAGAGUAAAGAAUCACAAACGUACAAUUAACAUCGACUGUAGUUUCUAUGGGAGAGUGGCCUCUACUGCGAAAAAAUAAUAUUGGGAGAUAUGACAAUGCACAAUGCUAAACAAAAAAAAAAGUAGAAGAUUAAAGACCAAAGUCCAUGAGUGAAAAUAAUAAGAUCAAAGGUCUAGAGAUAUAAGGAAAUGAGCUACUGUGGUCGGAUAUCAAAAUAAUUACACAAAUAGAAAAUAGCACAACUAAAACAAUAUGCCCAGAAUAUAGAACGCACAACUAAUGAGAAAAGAUUUUUCUCAAAAAAAAAAAACUAAUGAGAAAAGAUAAAAAAGCAUGUCCGGCGUUUGCGCGGGAUGAAACCACCUAGUAAUAUAUAUAUAUAUAUAUAUAACAUCUAUCUAUCUAUCUAUUUAUAUAAAUUUAUAUAAAGAACAUUUUAACUCUCUUCUGGUGAGGACACGUCCUCUUUUUUUAUUCUUUAUUUUUGGGUUUCGUUGCUUACGUUAUUCGUUUACAAUUGCUGGGCUUCGAUGAGCCGUCACCAUUUAGGGUUCUAUCUGUUCUUCAAGUUCUCAUUCAUGUCUGACAAUGGAGUCUCGGGAGAGAAAGUCGAGAAGAAUCGUGUUGACGAUUCACUGGAUCGAGAUAUCUUGGUGUCGUUUCGUCUCCGUUUCUUAUCCACUGUAUCGUUAGGGGAUGAAUUGAUUUGGUCAUUAACACUCUUCUUAAAUCCUUCGAUCCACUGCAACUGGGCGUUCUCCAUCAAUGCCUCUUCCCUCCCUUCAAGGCGGUGCAUUUACAACUAUAAAAAAAGGGAGAAGAGCUCGAUGAAAUUCAGCAGCAAAUCUAUUAGAUACUACAUUCUCUCCCUCAUCUUCCUCCUCUUCUUCACUCUUAUUGAAAUGUAAGAGAUGUAAACACCACUUUGCUCACUUCAUAUCUGUGAUUUGACUGUUUAUUCAUUGAAGAUUUUUAUGUAAAAACAUGCCUGAGAUUUUGAGUUCUUAGCAUUUUGAGCUCAGUUCAUCCGAAAGCCCGUGCUAAUUGCUUUUCACUGAUUUGUAUAUCAAACAUUACAACAUCGUGUAACAUGUAUUAUUUGUUACUAUGACUUAUUACAUUUUAUCUACUAACUAAAAUUUUCAAUUUUUUGAGCGGAUCAUCACCUAUUACAGUAUCUAUAAGACAAUUUCUCCUCAAACUAUCUAACGAGUUUGAAUGAAUUGAAUGAGAUGAAUAAGACAAAUUUCACAUAAUCCUUCCAUGGACGGGACAACUUACAACCUCUUUUGAAAAAAAAACAUUUCUUGUAUAUGUCAAUAUGAUAUGGUUGUAUGUGCACUGAUAAAACUUGACCUCGUAUAUAUAUAUUUGUUUUUUUUCUUAUACAACUUGUUUUUUUUUCUAUUCCUGGUUGUCAGUACUUGUUUACGUCUCAUAAAGAAAAAUCACUAGUAGAAAACUUCUAAAUACACACGUUUUAGACACAGUAGUAUCGUGACUUAUUUUGUGUUAGUCACGACAAAGUCACAUUUAGUCACGAAAUAGGACAACGUGACAAUCUGUGUCUUUUUCAUGGCAAAAUAGAUACGAAUUGGUCACAUAUGUUUUCGUGACUAAACGUAGUCACGAUUUGUCACAAACUAUUUGUGACUAAAAUGUCACGUUUUCGAAACCGUGUAUAAACCGUGGCUUUAAGAGUCACGAAAUGACACUAGAUAAACCGUGACCAAGACAAUGUCUAAUCAAAUAAACGUAAACUUUAGUCUCACUCUAUUUUGUGAUUAAAUUGAGACUUUUCCAACAAAAAAAUGUCAUAGAAUUUACAUCAAAGUCAGAAAACGGGACUGUUUUGGCUGGGAAUAUAUUCGAAUUUGGUUGGUCACAGUAGCCAUCGUGACAAAAACAUGUCAUAUCUAGUCACGGUUUCAUUAUUGUGACAAUUUCCGUGACUAAAACAACACAAAACAAACACUUUCGUGGAAAUGAAGAACACAAUAUCAAACCAAGAAAACCUCUCCUCUCAAUAUUUUUUUGUGUUCUUGACAAAUUAGUGAACGUCUUUUCUCAACUCUUUCUUUUGUAUUCCAUAAUUUCAAUGUCUCAUUUCUUUCAAUCAAGAGAGUGGAUGGAUCGACAUUUGGAUCCAAUCCGAAAUUGUGUUUCUGAAGAAUUUAUGGAGGGAAUUGAAGUGUUUCUUGCUUUUGCUUGUAAUCAAGAGUCUUACCAAGGAACAAGCACUAUGUUGUGUCCGUGUGCACGAUGCAAGAACCGGAAACAACGUGAUGCAAAGACGGUUUCUAAACAUCUUUUCCGAGUAGGAUUUACGGGGAAUUACUAUGUUUGGUCAAGUCACGGAGAAAGCUGUUACAAUGUUGGACAAUCUUCGGGGACAAGUCAUUUCUAUGGAGAAGAAGCACCAGAAGAAGCAGAAGGUACAAACUAUCAAAUUCCAAACGAAAUGUACGUUACUAAUCCAUUUUCCAAUAUAAAUAUAAAUUUGGAAGAAGAUGUUGAAGUAACCUCUACAUUGGAGUAUGCGGUGGAAGUGGGUAAUGAAGAAACAUUUCACGAUAACGCUUUUAGAGCCUAUGAAGAUGCAAGGCAACCACUUUAUGAUGGAUGUUCUGAAGGAAUUUCUCAAUUAUACUUGGCUUCACGAUUGAUGAAAGCAAAAACCGAUUACAAUUUGCCAGAUGCUUGUAUCGACGAGAUAUCACAAACUUUUAAAGAUGUUCUACCGAAGCCGAAUAAAGCGCCAUCAUCUUAUUAUGAAACGAAGAAGCUGGCCCGAUCACUUGGCCUCCCUGUUGUGAAGAUUGAUAUUUGUGAGGAUAACUGCAUGUUGUUUUGGAAAGAAGAUAAAGAGCUUUUGGCAUGUCGGUUUUGUGGUAAAGACAGAUACCAUCCAAACAGAGGAAGAGGAAAAAACCGUCCUAAACAGAGGAUGUUUUAUAUGCCGAUUACGGAACGGCUGAAACGUCUAUACCAAGUAGAGACAACUGCAUCACAUAUGCGAUGGCACGCAAAGCAUAAUUCACCUGAAGGAGAAAUGCAUCACCCAUCAGAUGGAGCGGCAUGGAAGCAUUUUAAUGGGGUAUAUCCUCAAUUCGCUGCUGAAAGUCGUAACAUUUAUUUAGGCUUAUCGACAGAUGGAUUUAAUCCUAUCGGUAUGAAUGGUGAAGCACAUUCGAUUUGGCCCGUUAUCGUAACUCCAUAUAACUUACCACCUGGUAUGUGUAUGAAAAGGGAAUAUUUAUAUCUGUCGAUACUAGUUCCCGGGCCAAAACAUCCGAAAAAAAGUCUAGAUAUUUAUCUUCAGCCGCUGAUUGAAGAAUUACAAAGUUUAUGGACUGAGGGGGUGGAAGCUUAUGAUAUCUCAAAGAAAGAAAGAUUCACAAUGCGAGCUGCACUGAUGUGGACAAUAAGCGACUUUCCAGCAUAUGCAAUGCUUUCUGGUUGGAUGACGCACGGUAGAUUAGCGUGUCCAUAUUGUUUAGAUGAUACAAAGGCUUUUUGGUUACAAAAUGGAAGGAAACAUAGUUGGUUUGAUUGUCACAGAAUGUUUUUGCCUCAGAAUCAUCCUUACCGGCGAAAUGUUAACGCGUUUCGGCGGGGACAAACAAUAUCAGAUGAUCCACCCCCGUGGUUGAUUGGAGAAGAAAUUCUUCGUGAAAGAAUAAACAACAUUAAGGGGUUGUCCAAAACAGUUGAUUGUGGAGGAAAAGGCCACGAGAAGGCUGCACAGACGAUAUCUGGCUAUGGAAAGGAUCAUAACUGGGUGAAGAAGAGUAUUUUUUGGGAUUUGCCAUAUUGGGAGAACCUUCUUCUUCGACACAACAUUGACUUCAUGCAUGUGGAGAAAAACUUUUUUGAUAAUCUCACCAACACUGUGUUGAAUGUUCCUGGAAAGACGAAAGAUAACAUUAAAUCGAGGAUGGAUCUCCCUAAUAUAUGUAGAAGACAAUCUCUACAUUUAAACGAAAAUGGAACUAUGCCUGUGCCGAUAUUUAGGUUGUCAAAUGAAGAAAAAAGGCAAUUUCUCUCAUGGCUGAAGAAUGAUAUAAAAUUUCCAGAUGGAUACGCUUCAAAAUUUAGUCGGUGCAUUGAUGAAACAAAUAUGAAGCUAUCAGGGUUGAAAAGUCACGAUUGUCACGUUAUUAUGCAACGUCUUUAUCCAUUUGCAUUUCGUGAACUCCUUCCGAAACAUGUUCAUACCGCAAUUUCAGAGAUUGCACUUUUCUUUCGUGAUAUCUCAGCAAAGAUAUUGCGCACCGAAGAUGUUGUCCUUUUGAAAGAAAAUAUAGGGGUGAAGCUUUGUAACUUGGAGAAGAUAUUUCCUCCAUCGUUCUUUGAUGUUAUGGAACAUCUUCCUGUGCAUCUACCAGAUGAAGCUGCUUUAGGUGGUCCUGUCCAAUAUAGAUGGAUGUAUGUCUUCGAAAGGUACAUGUAUCAUCUGAAAAGAUGGUAAAAAACAAGGCAAAUAUUGCAGGGUCCAUUGUUGCACAAUGUUUGAAUGAGGAGAUGUCAACUGCAUCUGCAACUUACUUUGGUCAUCCAGAAGUAAUAGAAGAAGCUUCUAUUCGAGGGAAAAUUCGAUUUACUUAUACUUAUGAAGAUGUGCCAAAUUUGUUUUAUCAUGAAGGUCGGGUCAGUGGAAAAGCCACCACGAGAUGGUUAACAGAUGUUGACUUCACCGUCUUGCAAACAUUUAUGUUGCUCAAUUGCGAUGUGUUUGAACCUUAUGAAAGGAUGUUUGAUGAGUUCGUGAUGGAAGCAAACCCAAAUAUUACUAGUAAUGAUCUACAGAGAGCGAAAGAUCAACAUUUUGCAAAAUGGGUGAAAGAUUUUAUUACAAAUGCCAGUGAAACAUAUGAGUUCCCUUUAUGGAUGUUGGAUUUCAUUCAAGGACCGCAUCGUAAUUACACAUCAUGGCCGAUAUAUUUCUCGCGAGGAUAUUGCUUCCACACACAUAGCCAUGGCCAAGAUAAAAUACCCAACAUUAUGGUGUGUAUGUCCGUGGAACCACCGAGACCGAGUAUUAUGGGCUGAUAGAAGAAAUCAUGAUGAUCGAGUACGGUGGUGCUGUUGGCUUGAAAGCCAUGAUUUUCAAAUGCAAGUGGUUUGAUACAGUAGUGGGUCGUGGAAUGCGUAAGCAUAAGUCGGGGAUCGUUGAUGUGUCCCCCCGUGGCCAAUAUGAGAAAUAUGAUCCUUUUAUACUGUCUGGUAAUUGUGAUCAAGUAUGUUUCAUUCCUUAUCCGCGUGUGCGUCGUACAAAUGUGACAGACUGGUGGGAAUGCACAAAAGUUUUGCCUCGAGGGGUAAAUGAAACAUUUGAAGUUGCUCUAACAGCAUUGCAAGAUGAUACACGUAACGAUGUUGUUGCACCGAGUGAGAUGAUACGAAUUGAAUCAUAUGUCGUGGAAGAUGAUUCUGGUUAUGAUGUCUUACCCGUGGCUCCUCCUAACGAUGAAUAUGUAUCAGAAGACGAGUUAGAAGAUUCGUGUGCCGACUCUGAUUCGGACUCCGAUUCUGAUUAAGGUAAUAUGUAGUUGUAAUAUGUAUUUGAAAUUUGGAAUAUUAUUAAUAAAAUAAAUUUUAAUUAUCAUGCUUAUUUGAUUAUUACAAAUAUGUAUCUUGUUUAGGAGUUACAAUUUAGGGAUUAUAUUUUUAAAGGUUAUAGUUGAAAGGUUGUUGUUUAGUGGUUAUAGUUUGAGGGUUAGGGUUUAGGGAUUAUAAUUUAUAAAGGCAUGGGGGUUGUAUUUUUUGGGCUCUAUUGUUUUACAGUUUGUUCAAAACAAUAGAUUUGUAGUUUUGGAUUACGAAUUUCGAUUUAGUUAAUGAAAAAUGUUAAAGUUGGUUAUUGAUAAUGUUAAAAUUUAUUUAGGACAUAGAGAAUAUUUGCCAAAUUUUCUACUCGAACUUUUGCCUCCGUAUAUUUUGCCUCCAUACAUAUUUCUGGCUCCAAUUUUUGGCUCCAUUUAUUUGGGUUUUGGCUCUUAAACUUUUGCCCAAAACACUUAAUAAAUAAAGGACGCUCUCCUCUCUUCCCAAACACAACACUUAGACAAAAAAAAAACCUAUACUCUCUCGACUCUACUUCGACUAUCGGACGACACUCGAAGUCACUGUCUCGAGCUCUCUCUGAUCAGAACCAGCAUGGCUCAAAGCGGACCAUCAGAUAAUCGGCGUCGCCCACGCCCACCAGAGUUAAACCUUCCCGAUAUGCAACAAAGAAGAAUACCAACCUCAGUUGCAUCUGCAGGGUUUGUCAUGCCUCCUACGAUAUGAUGGUUGAGGGUGGAUUGGACGAGCCACCAUCUUUCAUUGACCUUGUGCGCAAGACACACACUCGCAAGGAUGGUUCAUUCAUUGAUGAACGUGCUGAGGCUCUAGUCUUAGAGGUGGAGGAAGCUGUGGACUCUAUGAUACUCGAUGAGGACUCUCCCAAUGACGUCAGCCCAACUGCUUCAACUGCUACAACUACUCCUUCAAGGCGGUUCCUCCUUGAUCAAGAAUUUCUCAAGCGUGCUAAGACAAGCAAAGGGCGUGUAUAUGGGAUUGGUAGUGUCCAGUUCAGAGACUAUGAACCACCUCAGUCAGUCCCAGCAUCUCUUAAACGCAGCUUAGACAUGGACUUGCGCGUAUCUGGAAUAGAGACAAAUGCUGAACAUGUGCAGACCACUGUGGAACUUCUCAAGACUGAUAUGACAACUCUCAAAGGAGAUUUUUUAGCCUUCAAGACUGAGUUCCAGCAGGAAAUGGCUGCAACAAGAAGCUCCCUUAAUGUCAUUCUACAGGCUCUUGGUGCUCUUGGUGCUGUUUCUCCUCAAGUGAACGAACCUGACAAUGCCUCAACUCCUUAGGCUUCUUGCUUAAGUUGAUCUCUUUUAGCUUUCGUAACAACUAUGUAACAAGGAUGCUACUAGGUUUUUUUGUAAUGUAACGAUCCUUUUGUAACAACUAUGUAACAAGGAUGCCACCUAGUCUUUUGGUAAUGUAAGAACCUUUUGUAACAACUUUAAUUAUCAAAAAUCGGCUGUAGUGUUUUGUUAAACGUUUUUCAUUGUAAUAUAUUUUAAUUAGGUUUAAAAUU